AUUGAACGCUGGCGGCAGGCCUAACACAUGCAAGUCGAGCGAGUGGCGGACGGGAGAGUAAUGUCUGGGAAACUGCCUGAUGGAGGGGGAUAACUACUGGAAACGGUAGCUAAUACCGCAUACCAUCAGACGCGCCCAUAUGUGAUUAGCUAGUUGGUGGGGUAACGGCUCACAAAGGCGACGAUCCCUAGCUGGUCUGAGAGGAUGACCAGCCACACUGGAACAGAGACGCGGUCCAGACUCCUACGGGAGGCAGCAGUGGGGAAUAUUGCACAAUGGGCGCACGCCUGAUGCAGCCAUGCCGCGUGUAUGAAGCAGGCCUUCGGGUUGGAAAGUACUUUCGGCGGGGAGGCGUUACCCGCAGAAGAAGCACCGGCUAACUCCGUGCCAGCAGCCGCGGUAAUUC
rnacentral:rRNA from 1 species